AAGGAGCCAGCAACAGGAACAAAAACAGAGAUAAGCAAACGAAGUUAUCGGUAAAGAGCAGCUGGCUACAUACAGGCCAAGCCAGCUCAACUGAGCCCAGCAGGUCUCUAGGCUGCUCUGAGGAGGCGGCAGCCACAGAAGAUUGAGACAGCGCGUCCUUCCACGUACCAAGGCACCCUCGCGUUUUGUUUGUAACUCGCAGGAACACGCAUUCACGCGCUCCCCGUCACGUCACGUGUGCACUCAGCACAGCUGUGCGGGCUCCCAGCUGGAAUCACCUUUCAGAAACUCCGCACUCUGCCCUCCUGUGAACAAGAGGCUGCCCCCACCUGCCCACAUCCCUGCGAAGCCUUGGCUUCGGGGGUCUGCCAGCCAGCAGGGCACAACAUGGGCAUGCAAGCUGGAAGCUCAGCCCAGAAACAGCUUUUUGUGAUGGUGGCCGCGUCUGUCUCCCAGUGACUGACGGAAAGAGGCCGCCGUCUUCCCCUCCCGUGAGCCGCAGACGGAUGAACGAUCGUGGACACCCUUCUGGAGCUACCAAAAUAACUCCUUCCACACGGCCUCCUUCUAGAAGAUUUUCUCAUGAUGCGAUCCAACCCCAAAUUCACCAAGAAGGCUAGAUUUGGAGAAGUUUCCUGAGGCCAUGCAAGACCAGGCAGUAUUUCUCCGCCACAACCAGCCCCCACUGAGUAAAAAUACCAUUUGGGAUAUAUGAUAGGAUAUAUGUCACCAGAAACAACACUACAUUCCAAAUGCCAGCUCAGCACUCCAACCUCCCUCCCCCAUUGGCCCCUCAUGAGGCAAACAGGUUAGGGAGGCAGGAAGGACAGAGCUAAGUGGAGAACUGCUCUGGCGACAGUGAGGACCUCCCCGGGCCGCAGAGGUGACCGCCCCCGCGGCCCCUUCUGAGGAAGCUGGCCCACCCACCACUCUGCUGACAGGGUGCGAAGCAGCCAAGCUUAAUGCACCCAGCGGCGUCCUCAGCGCAAUAGUCUUCUCAGCUUCCUCAUUUCAGCAACGGGCCCCAGGGCUCAGGCCAAUACCUCCGCCAUCCUUAGUUCCUUUUCUUUUUUCACCCCGCAUGUCCAAUCCAUCAGCACGUUCAAAACCCCCCUGAACCACCCACUUCUCAUCACCUCCCGCGACCAUCCUCGUCAAGGGGUCCCCCAGCUUCCACUCUUGGCCUCCUAUGGACGAGGCUCCCCCGAGCAGCCUUAACAAGCCGUCUUCCCCAGGGCAAUGAGCGUAGUCUCCUAACUUGGCACCAUGGCCGACCAGGGCCCUGCCCUCUUCAGGCUUUCCACGCCUCUCCCCUGCCCUCAACAUUGUAGCCAUGCUUUGCUGGCCUUCUGUCCAGCCCUGGACGGUGCCAAGUUCAUCCACCUGGGGCCUC